GGAAGGAUCAUUACCUUUUAGUUGCGUUGCAGCUGCGCCUGGCGCCUCUCCAGCAGAGGUCGCUUUGGUGUCCACCCUUGCUUAUUGUUACCCUAUGUUUCCUGGGCGGUUGUCAUGGCAGCCAAGUGGCGGUGCCCGCCAGUAGGAGUAAAAUAACGCUUUAUGCCGUUGUAUAAUUGUCUGAGUCGAUUGUAAUCAUUACAACUUUCAACAAUGGAUCUCUUGGUUCUGGCAUCGAUGAAGAACGCAGCGAAAUGCGAUACGUAGUGUGAAUUGCAGAAUUCAGUGAAUCAUCGAAUCUUUGAACGCACAUUGCGCCCUAUGGUACCCCAUAGGGCAUGCCUGUUCGAGCGUCUAUAGGAGCCUCAUGAUACAUGGUGUUGGGCGUGGGUGCCGGGCCUUUGGUGCCGGAUGCUCGCCUGAAAAGUAUUGUGUUACCGCGGGUCUUGCGCAGCAGUAUGCGCGUUGUAGGGCCAUUUCGCGGCUGUUACCGUCUGCUUGACCUCGGAUCAGGUAGGGAUACCCGCUGAACUUAAGCAUAUCAAUAAGCGGAGGAAAAGAAACCAACUGGGAUUGCCCUAGUAACGGCGAGUGAAGCGGCAGUAGCUCAAAUUUGAAAUCUGGCUCCCUCGGGGGUCCGAGUUGUACUUUGCAGAGGGUGCUUUGGCGUUGGCUGCGGUCUAAGUUCCUUGGAAUAGGACUGUCACAGAGGGUGAGAAUCCCGUAUGUGGCCGCGUGCUUUCGCCGUGUAAAGCCCCUUCGACGAGUCGAGUUGUUUGGGAAUGCAGCUCUAAAUGGGAGGUAAAUUUCUUCUAAAGCUAAAUACUGGCCAGAGACCGAUAGCGCACAAGUAGAGUGAUCGAAAGAUGAAAAGCACUUUGGAAAGAGAGUGAAAUAGCCCGUGAAAUUGUUGAAAGGGAAGCGCUUGUCGCCAGACUUGCCCGCAGCUGCUCAUCCAUUCUGGGAGCACUCGGCUGCGGGCAGGCCAGCAUCAGUUUGGGCGGCUGGAUAAGAAGCUCUGUCACGUAUCUUCCUGCGGGAUGACCUUAUAGGGGAGCUAGUGCAGCCAGCCCGGACUGAGGUCCGCGCAUAAGCUAGGAUGCUGGCGUAAUGGCCGCAAGCGGCCCGUCUUGAAACACGGACCAAGGAGUCUAACAUCUAUGCGAGUGUUUGGGUGUCAAGCCCGGGCGCGCAAUGAAAGUGAAUGGAGGUGGGAACCCUUUGGGUGCACCAUCGACCGAUCUGGACGUCUCCGGAUGAGGAUUUGAGUAAGAGCAUAGCUGUUGGGACCCGAAAGAUGGUGAACUAUGCUUGAAUAGGGUGAAGCCAGAGGAAACUCUGGUGGAGGCUCGCAGCGGUUCUGACGUGCAAAUCGAUCGUCAAAUUUGGGCAUAGGGGCGAAAGACUAAUCGAACCAUCUAGUAGCUGGUUCCUGC
rnacentral:misc_RNA from 1 species